AAAAAUGUAUAUUUAGGGUGAGUUGCAAUUGUAAUAUUUCGCAUAAGCAGUUGACUUUGAGCCAGAGGAAGGCAAGUUUGCACGCAGAGACAACUCUUAGAAUUUCCUAAAAUGACAGAUUUCAAAAGGACCGUUACAGUCUUUUUCUUGCUGUAUUUGGUUUCCAGUGGCUUGGGAAUGUCUCUCGUAAGGCGGGACCUGAAGGAGAAUUCUGGUGCGGCAAGAUUUCUCAGUGCACUGGACAAACGAACGGAACUUUUCAAACGUUCUGAUUGUCAAGACACAAACCCUGAUGUAUACUUCUGCAUGUUCGCAGCCUUUGAAGAGCAAUCUUGUGAAACGUAUGGAAGGGAGUGUGCCCUUUCUUGUGGAUUCUGUUAGAGCUUUGCGUGAUCAAUUCUCAUGAAGAAUUGCUGAAAAUCCACAACUGAUGUAAGCCAUGCCUCUGAUUUUUAUUUACAACAGAACUUCUGCUGUAUGUGAACUUACUGGACCCGCCUGACACUAUUGAAUAUGGCAAAAUAUAACAAUAAAAUAUCAUAAGUCAAAAUAAAUUUGAAUCAAACAAUAAAACGUCCCCUGGAACUGAU